UUGAACGCUGGCGGCAUGCUUUACACAUGCAAGUCGAACGGUAGACCCUUUCGGGGGUUGAGAGUGGCGAACGGGUGAGUAAUGCAUCGGAACAUACCCAGUCGUGGGGGAUAACGUAGCGAAAGUUACGCUAAUACCGCAUGAGUCCUGAGGGAGAAAGCGGGGGAUUCGCAAGGACCUCGCGUUAUUGGAGUGGCCUAGGCCUGAUUAGCUAGUUGGUGAGGUAAAGGCUCACCAAGGCGACGAUCAGUAGCUGGUCUGAGAGGAUGAUCAGCCACACUGGAACUGAGACACGGUCCAGACUCCUACGGGAGGCAGCAGUGGGGAAUUUUGGACAAUGGGCGAAAGCCUGAUCCAGCCAUUCCGCGUGAGUGAAGAAGGCCUUCGGGUUGUAAAGCUCUUUCAGGAGGGAAGAAACGGUUGAGGCUAACAUCCUUGACUAAUGGCGGUACCUUCAGAAGAAGCACCGGCUAACUACGU
rnacentral:rRNA from 1 species